rnacentral:rRNA from 1 species
AGCGAACGCUGGCGGCAGGCCUAACACAUGCAAGUCGAACGAACCUUUCGGGGUUAGUGGCGGACGGGUGAGUAACACGUGGGAACGUGCCUUUAGGUUCGGAAUAACUCAGGGAAACUUGUGCUAAUACCGAAUGUGCCCUUCGGGGGAAAGAUUUAUCGCCUUUAGAGCGGCCCGCGUCUGAUUAGCUGGUUGGUUGAGGUAAUGGCUCACCAAGGCGACGAUCAGUAGCUGGUCUGAGAGGAUGAUCAGCCACAUUGGGACUGAGACACGGCCCAAACUCCUACGGGAGGCAGCAGUGGGGAAUCUUGCGCAAUGGGCGAAAGCCUGACGCAGCCAUGCCGCGUGAAUGAUGAAGGUCUUAGGAUUGUAAAAUUCUUUCACCGGGGACGUUAAUGACGGUACCCGGAGAAGAAGCCCCGGCUAACUUCGUG